rnacentral:rRNA from 1 species
UACGAAGGGGGCUAGCGUUGUUCGGAAUUACUGGGCGUAAAGCGCGCGCAGGCGGUCUUCCAAGUCAGUGGUGAAAGCCCGGAGCUCAACUCCGGAACUGCCAUUGAAACUGUUAGACUUGAGGAUGAGAGAGGUGAGUGGAAUUCCCAGUGUAGAGGUGAAAUUCGUAGAUAUUGGGAAGAACACCAGUGGCGAAGGCGGCUCACUGGCUCGGUACUGACGCUGAGGUGCGAAAGCGUGGGGAGCAAACAGG